rnacentral:tRNA from 1 species
CCGGCGUGGGUGAGGACGGCGUACCAGACGAACAGGGCCAUCGUGAUGGCGUGGCAGACCCGCGCGCCCCAGAUCGCGGCCGGGACGCCGAA